rnacentral:rRNA from 1 species
UAGUGGCGAACGGGUGAGUAACACGUGGGCAAUCUGCCCUUCACUCUGGGACAAGCCCUGGAAACGGGGUCUAAUACCGGAUAAUACCUGCCUGGGCAUCUGGGUGGGUUGAAAGCUCCGGCGGUGAAGGAUGAGCCCGCGGCCUAUCAGCUUGUUGGUGAGGUAGUGGCUCACCAAGGCGACGACGGGUAGCCGGCCUGAGAGGGCGACCGGCCACACUGGGACUGAGACACGGCCCAGACUCCUACGGGAGGCAGCAGUGGGGAAUAUUGCACAAUGGGCGAAAGCCUGAUGCAGCGACGCCGCGUGAGGGAUGACGGCCUUCGGGUUGUAAACCUCUUUCAGCAGGGAAGAAGCGAGAGUGACGGUACCUGCAGAAGAAGCGCCGGCUAACUACGUGCCAGCAGCCGCGGUAAUACGUAGGGCGCAAGCGUUGUCCGGAAUUAUUGGGCGUAAAGAGCUCGUAGGCGGCUUGUCACGUCG